GACGAACGCUGGCGGUGUGCCUAAUACUUGCAAGUAGAACGCACAGUUUAUACCGUAGCUUGCUACACCAUAGACUGUGAGUUGCGAACGGGUGAGUAACGCGUAGGUAACCUGCCUGGUAGCGGGGGAUAACUAUUGGAAACGUUAGCUAAUACCGCAUAAUAUUGAUUAUUGCAUGAUAAUUAAUUGAAAGGUGCAAUUGCACCACUACCAGAUGGACCUGCGUUGUAUUAGCUAGUAGGUGAGGUAACGGCUCACCUAGGCGACGAAACAUAGCCGACCUGGUAGGGUGAUCGGCCACACUGGGACUGAGACACGGCCCAGACUCCUACGGGGGGCAGCAGUAGGGAAUUUUCGGCAAUAGACGAAAGUCUGACCGGGCAACGCCGCGUGAGUGAAGAAGGUUUUCGGAUCGUAAAGCUCUGUUGUAAGAGAAGAACGGGUGUGAGAGUGGAAAGUUCACACUGUGACGGUAUCUUACCAGAAAGGGACGGCUAACUACGUG
rnacentral:rRNA from 1 species